rnacentral:rRNA from 1 species
UACGUAGGGUGCAAGCGUUGUCCGGAAUUAUUGGGCGUAAAGAGCUCGUAGGCGGUUUGUCGCGUCUGCUGUGAAAACUGGAGGCUCAACCUCCAGCCUGCAGUGGGUACGGGCAAACUAGAGUGCGGUAGGGGAGAUUGGAAUUCCUGGUGUAGCGGUGGAAUGCGCAGAUAUCAGGAGGAACACCGAUGGCGAAGGCAGAUCUCUGGGCCGUAACUGACGCUGAGGAGCGAAAGCAUGGGGAGCCAACAGG